rnacentral:rRNA from 1 species
AUUGAACGCUGGCGGCAUGUCUUACACAUGCAAGUCGAACGGUAACAGGUCUUCGGAUGCUGACGAGUGGCGAACGGGUGAGUAAUACAUCGGAACGUGCCCGAUCGUGGGGGAUAACGGAGCGAAAGCUUUGCUAAUACCGCAUACGAUCUACGGAUGAAAGCAGGGGACCGCAAGGCCUUGCGCGGACGGAGCGGCCGAAGGCAGAUUAGGUAGUUGGUGGAAUAAAAGCUUACCAAGCCGACGAUCUGUAGCUGGUCUGAGAGGACGACCAGCCACACUGGGACUGAGACACGGCCCAGACUCCUACGGGAGGCAGCAGUGGGGAAUUUUGGACAAUGGGCGAAAGCCUGAUCCAGCCAUGCCGCGUGCAGGAUGAAGGCCUUCGGGUUGUAAACUGCUUUUGUACGGAACGAAAAGACUCCUUCUAAUAAAGGGGGUCCAUGACGGUACCGUAAGAAUAAGCACCGGCUAACUACGUGCCAGCCGCCGCGGUAAUAC